rnacentral:rRNA from 1 species
UACAGAGGGUGCAAGCGUUAAUCGGAUUUACUGGGCGUAAAGGGCGCGUAGGUGGUUGCGUAAGUGAGAUGUGAAAUCCCCGGGCUUAACCUGGGACGUGCAUCUUAGACUGCGUAACUGGAGUGUAGUAGAGGGUAGUGGAAUUUCCGGUGUAGCGGUGAAAUGCGUAGAUAUUGGGAAGAACACCGGUGGCGAAGGCGGCUCACUGGCCCGUUUCUGACGCUCAGGCGCGACAGCGUGGGGAUCAAACAGG